AACAUUCAUUGCUGUCGGUGGGUUGUGAAUUAUGGAAAACUCGCUGACCAAUGAGUGGAA
rnacentral:pre_miRNA from 1 species